AUCAAGUGUCUAAAGGGCAUUU
rnacentral:rRNA from 1 species